rnacentral:sRNA from 1 species
AGUAUAUAUACAAUGUUAUACAACCAUUAAUACCUAGAUCCAAAACAUUUUCAUCACCCGAAGGUGACCCUUUACCCAUAAAACAGUCACUUUCUCCUUUGUUCUCUCCCCAACUUCUGGCAACCAUUAUUUUGGUUUCUGUCUCUGUAGAUAUAUCUAUUCUGAUUAUACCAUAUAAAGGGAAUCAUGCAUGUGACCUUUUGUGUGUGUCUGGUUUCUUUUAUUUGGUGUUGUGUUUUCAAUGUUCUUCCAUGUUGUAACCUGUAUCAAUACCUCACUUUUUAUCAUGUCUGAAGAAUAUUCUCAUUGUAUGAAUAUUCAGUAUUUUGUUUGUUCUCUCCUCUGUGAUGGUACAUUUGGGUUGUGAUACCACUUAUUGGCACCCAAGGCCUUUUAAAUAAAUGUCGUUCCAUUAGGAGACAUGAUAAAAAUACAUAUUGAUCAACUACUAUGUGAGAGAUUUUUGAAGUGCUUUAGGGCAUGUCAGAAGAAGCAGAGUUACUCCAGAGUUUGCUGUCUAUUUGAUAAGUAUUGAAAUCUGAGUUGUGAUGAAUAAAACAUGAAUUUUUAUUUUCCCUUAAGGUGUAACAAGUGAAAAGCAAUUUGAAGUUGGUAAUGUUUAAGAAUUAUUUUAAUAGUUUUGGUCUUCUGUGUAGGCCCUUCAUUAUAUGUUGUUGGUAUCUGAAGUAGAAGAAACUGAAAUCUUUAAAAUUUGUCUUGAAUACUGGAAUCAUUUGGCUGCUGAACUGUAUAGAGAGAGUCCAUUCUCUACAUCUGCCUCUCCGUUGCUUUCUGGAAGUCAACAUUUUGAUGUUCCUCCCAGGAGACAGCUAUAUUUGCCCAUGUUAUUCAAGGUCCGUUUAUUAAUGGUUAGUCGAAUGGCUAAACCAGAGGAAGUAUUGGUUGUAGAGAAUGAUCAAGGAGAAGUUGUGAGAGAAUUCAUGAAGGAUACAGAUUCCAUAAAUUUGUAUAAGAAUAUGAGGGAAACAUUGGUUUAUCUUACUCAUCUGGAUUAUGUAGAUACAGAAAGAAUAAUGACAGAGAAGCUUCACAAUCAAGUGAAUGGUACAGAGUGGUCAUGGAAAAAUUUGAAUACAUUGUGUUGGGCAAUAGGCUCCAUUAGUGGAGCAAUGCAUGAAGAGGACGAAAAACGAUUUCUUGUUACUGUUAUAAAGGAUCUAUUAGGAUUAUGUGAACAGAAAAGAGGCAAAGAUAAUAAAGCUAUUAUUGCAUCAAAUAUCAUGUACAUAGUAGGUCAAUAUCCACGUUUUUUGAGAGCUCACUGGAAAUUUCUGAAGACUGUAGUUAACAAGCUGUUCGAAUUCAUGCAUGAGGAUAUGGCUUGUGAUACUUUCAUUAAAAUAGCCCAAAAAUGCCGCAGGCAUUUCGUUCAGGUUCAGGUUGGAGAAGUGAUGCCAUUUAUUGAUGAAAUUUUGAACAACAUUAACACUAUUAUUUGUGAUCUUCAGCCUCAACAGGUUCAUACGUUUUAUGAAGCUGUGGGGUACAUGAUUGGUGCACAAACAGAUCAAACAGUACAAGAACACUUGAUAGAAAAGUACAUGUUACUCCCUAAUCAAGUGUGGGAUAGUAUAAUCCAGCAGGCAACCAAAAAUGUGGAUAUACUGAAAGAUCCUGAAACAGUCAAGCAGCUUGGUAGCAUUUUGAAAACAAAUGUGAGAGCCUGCAAAGCUGUUGGACACCCCUUUGUAAUUCAGCUUGGAAGAAUUUAUUUAGAUAUGCUUAAUGUAUACAAGUGCCUCAGUGAAAAUAUUUCUGCAGCUAUCCAAGCUAAUGGUGAAAUGGUUACAAAGCAACCAUUGAUUAGAAGUAUGCGAACUGUAAAAAGGGAAACUUUAAAGUUAAUAUCUGGUUGGGUGAGCCGAUCCAAUGAUCCACAGAUGGUCGCUGAAAAUUUUGUUCCCCCUCUGUUGGAUGCAGUUCUCAUUGAUUAUCAGAGAAAUGUCCCAGCUGCUAGAGAACCAGAAGUGCUUAGUACUAUGGCCAUAAUUGUCAACAAGUUAGGGGGACAUAUAACAGCUGAAAUACCUCAAAUAUUUGAUGCUGUUUUUGAAUGCACAUUGAAUAUGAUAAAUAAGGACUUUGAAGAAUAUCCUGAACACAGAACGAACUUUUUCUUACUACUUCAGGCUGUCAAUUCUCAUUGUUUCCCAGCAUUCCUUGCUAUUCCACCUACACAGUUUAAACUUGUUUUGGAUUCCAUCAUUUGGGCCUUCAAACAUACUAUGAGGAAUGUCGCAGAUACGGGCUUACAGAUACUUUUUACACUCUUACAAAAUGUUGCACAAGAAGAAGCUGCAGCUCAGAGUUUUUAUCAAACUUAUUUUUGUGAUAUUCUCCAGCAUAUCUUUUCUGUUGUGACAGACACUUCACAUACUGCUGGUUUAACAAUGCAUGCAUCAAUUCUUGCAUAUAUGUUUAAUUUGGUUGAAGAAGGAAAAAUAAGUACAUCAUUAAAUCCUGGAAAUCCAGUUAACAACCAAAUCUUUCUUCAGGAAUAUGUGGCUAAUCUCCUUAAGUCGGCCUUCCCUCACCUACAAGAUGCUCAAGUAAAGCUCUUUGUGACAGGGCUUUUCAGCUUAAAUCAAGAUAUUCCUGCUUUCAAGGAACAUUUAAGAGAUUUCCUAGUUCAAAUAAAGGAAUUUGCAGGUGAAGACACUUCUGAUUUGUUUUUGGAAGAGAGAGAACUAGCCCUACGGCAGGCUGAUGAAGAGAAACAUAAACGUCAAAUGUCUGUCCCUGGCAUCUUUAAUCCACAUGAGAUUCCAGAAGAAAUGUGUGAUUAAAAUCCAAAUUCAUGCUGUUUUUUUUCUCUGCAACUCGUUAGCAGAGGAAAACAGCAUGUGGGUAUUUGUCGACCAAAAUGAUGCCAAUUUGUAAAUUAAAAUGUCACCUAGUGGCCCUUUUUCUUAUGUGUUUUUUUGUAUAAGAAAUUUUCUGUGAAAUAUCCUUCCAUUGUUUAAGCUUUUGUUUUGGUCAUCUUUAUUUAGUUUGCAUGAAGUUGAAAAUUAAGGCAUUUUUAAAAAUUUUACUUCAUGCCCAUUUUUGUGGCUGGGCUGGGGGGAGGAGGCAAAUUCGAUUUGAACAUAUACUUGUAAUUCUAAUGCAAAAUUAUACAAUUUUUCCUGUAAACAAUACCAAUUUUUAAUUAGGGAGCAUUUUCUUUCUAGUCUAUUUCAGCCUAGAAGAAAAGAUAAUGAGUAAAACAAAUUGCGUUGUUUAAAGGAUUAUAGUGCUGCAUUGUCUGAAGUUAGCACCUCUUGGACUGAAUCGUUUGUCUAGACUACAUGUAUUACAAAGUCUCUUUGGCAAGAUUGCAGCAAGAUCAUGUGCAUAUCAUCCCAUUGUAAAGCGACUUCAAAAAUAUGGGAACACAGUUAGUUAUUUUUACACAGUUCUUUUUGUUUUUGUGUGUGUGUGCUGUCGCUUGUCGACAACAGCUUUUUGUUUUCCUCAAUGAGGAGUGUUGCUCAUUUGUGAGCCUUCAUUAACUCGAAGUGAAAUGGUUAAAAAUAUUUAUCCUGUUAGAAUAGGCUGCAUCUUUUUAACAACUCAUUAAAAAACAAAACAAAACAACUCUGGCUUUUGAGAUGACUUAUACUAAUUUACAUUGUUUACCAAGCUGUAGUGCUUUAAGAACACUACUUAAAAAGCAAAAUAAACUUGGUUUACAUUU